AGUGAACGCUGGCGGUAGGCCUAACACAUGCAAGUCGAACGGCAGCACAGGAGAGCUUGCUCUCUGGGUGGCGAGUGGCGGACGGGGGAGGAAUACAUCGGAAUCUACCCUGUCGUGGGGGAUAACGUAGGGAAACUUACGCUAAUACCGCAUACGACCUACGGGUGAACGCAGGUGAUCUUCGGACCUUGCGCGCUUGAUUGAGCCGAUGUCGAGUUAGCUAGUUGGCGGGGUAAAGGCCAACCAAGGCGACGAUCCGUAGCUGGUCUGAGACGAUGAUCAGCAACACUGGAACUGAGACACGGUCCAGACUCCUACGGGAGGCAGCAGUGGUGAAUAUUGGACAAUGGGCGCAAGCCUGAUCCAGCCAUACCGCGUGGGUGAAGAAGGCCUUCGGGUUGUAAAGCCCUUUUGUUGGGAAAGAAAUCCAGCUGGCUAAUACCCGGUUGGGAUGACGGUACCCAAAGAAUAAGCACCGGCUAACUUCGUGCCAGCCGCCGCCGUAA
rnacentral:rRNA from 1 species